AACGAACGCUGGCGGCAGGCCUAACACAUGCAAGUCGAGCGGACCUUUCGGGGUCAGCGGCGGACGGGUGAGUAACGCGUGGGAAUAUGCCCUUCUCUACGGAAUAGUCCUGGGAAACUGGGGGUAAUACCGUAUACGCCCUUUGGGGGAAAGAUUUAUCGGGGAAGGGUUAGCCCGCGUUGGAUUAGGUAGUUGGUGGGGUAAUGGCCUACCAAGCCGACGAUCCAUAGCUGGUUUGAGAGGAUGAUCAGCCACACUGGGACUGAGACACGGCCCAGACUCCUACGGGAGGCAGCAGUGGGGAAUCUUAGACAAUGGGGGCAACCCUGAUCGAGCCAUGCCGCGUGAGUGAUGAAGGCCUUAGGGUUGUAAAGCUCUUUCAGCUGGGAAGAUAAUGACGGUACCAGCAGAAGAAGCCCCGGCUAACUCCGUG
rnacentral:rRNA from 1 species